UGGGCGUAAAGGGAGCGCAGGCGACCUGUGUGUGUCAGGUGUGAAAGCCCAGGGCUCAACUCUGGACUGCGCCUGAAACUGCACAGCUUGAGACUCGGAGGGGUAUCCGGAAUUCCAGGUGUACCGGUGAAAUGCGUAGAUAUCUGGAGGAACACCAACGGCGAAGGCAGCAUACUGGACGAGAUCUGACGCUCAGGCUCGAAAGCGUGGGGAGCGAAAGGGAUUAGAUACCCCUGUAGUCCACGCCGUAAACGUUGCACACUAGGUUUCGGAGCAUUCGACCGUUUCGGAGCCCAAGGUAACCUGAUAAGUGUGCCGCCUGAGGACUACGGCCGCAAGGCUAAAACUCAAAGGAAUUGGCGGGGGCCCGCACAAGCGGUGGAGCAUGUGGUUUAAUUCGAUGCAACGCGAAGAACCUUACCUGGGCUAGAAAACACGGGAAUCUGGCGGAAACGUCGGGGUGCCCUUCGGGGAACGCGUGGUUAGGUGCUGCAUGGCUGUCGUCAGCUCGUGUCGUGAGAUGUUGGGUUAAGUCCCGCAACGAGCGCAACCCUUGUCGCUAGUUACCAGCGAGUCAUGUCGGGAACUCUAGCGAGACUGCCGAUAUUAAAAUCGGAGGAAGGUGGGGAUGACGUCAAGUCAUCAUGGCCCCUAUGUCCAGGGCUACACACGUGCUACAAUGGUCGGUACAAAGGGUCGCCAGCCAGUGAUGGUGAGCUAAUCCCAAAAAGCCAACCUCAGUACAGAUAGGAGUCUGCAACCCGACUCCUUGAAGUCGGAAUCGCUAGUAAUCGCUGAUCAGCAGGCAGCGGUGAAUACGUUCCCGGGCCUUGUACACACCGCCCGUCACACCAUGGGAGUUGUUUGCUCCAGAAGUGGCCGAGCCAACCCGCAAGGGAAGCAGGUCCCCAAGGAGUGAAUGAUGACUGGG
rnacentral:rRNA from 1 species